rnacentral:rRNA from 1 species
GACGAACCGUGCGAACGUUGUUCGGAAUCACUGGGCUUAAAGGGCGCGUAGGCGGGCUAUCAAGUCCGGGGUGAAAUCCUCCCGCUCAACGGGAGAACGGCCUCGGAUACUGAUGGUCUCGAGGAGGAUAGGGGCACACGGAACUGUGGGUGGAGCGGUGAAAUGCGUUGAUAUCCAUAGGAACUCCGGUGGCGAAAGCGGUGUGCUGGAUCCUUUCUGACGCUGAGGCGCGAAAGCCAGGGGAGCAAACGGG